UAUGAAGAUGAGCAUGAAUGCAUAGGAUAUGCAGUUCUUCCAAAUAUGGAUAUUAAAGAUGCAUAAUGAUUUUUUUCAUUAUUCUGCCAAGUAUCAUAUGCAGUGAAGUUAAGACACAUCAUUCCCUGGAAGUGACUACCAUAGUAUCUGCUGUUGUGUUUAUUUAUUUUUUAACCAAUUCACAUCCUGGUGGUAUUUGUUAGGUAUACAAAGACUGAAAAACUACUGCGAUGGCCUCAUGCCUUGUUUUUCUCCUUUAGAAGAUGUUUUUUCUCCUUUAGAUGAUUUUUUUCUCCUUUAGAAGAGUGUACUUCCUUUCUCAUUGGUGAAACAUCUAUUAAUAGUAAUUCUCAUCUUCCCUGAGAACCCUCAUCUGUAUAAUGUGCUAGUUUUUACCCAGGAACACUGCAUUAUAAAGCAUUUAAAGUUCCAGGUAUACCUUUCUCAGAAGAGAAGAACUACAAAUCCCAGAAGACUUCACUGAUCCAUUUCCAUUUUCCAUUUGGAGGGAAAGAUAAAGCUAAUUGGGAGUCAUGAGACUGUCCUUCUUUUUCUGUUCAUCUCUGCAGUGUGUGCUCCCUAUCCAUCUCGCCUUCAGCACUGGAGUCAGGCAAGUCAGCAUUUGUUCCCUGGGCUGCUCAGAGACUGAGUGCAUGAACAGCAAAAUAGUGUCGUGUUCCAUAUUUUGAGAGCUUGACCUGUUGCUGGGACCCAAGGGCACAGAAAAAGAGUAUGUGAGUGAAGAAAAACAGGAACACCACUCUGUAGCCGGUCUAGCUGGAAAGUCCUUUGAGAUGUGAUUCCCUCAUUGACUCAAAGGAGUUUUGAUGAUACUUGAGGGCAUGAUAUGGAUGCACAGUGGAAAAAGAACUCUGCAGUCUGCUUGUCACUACUCCAGAAACCAAAGGAGAGAAUUAUUAAUUGGUUUUAUCCUACAGAACUCUGCUAAGCAGAUCCCUGAAGAGGCCAGACAGCUCUCCUGAAAUCCAUGGUUGUGAGCAAGCAUCCUCCUUUUGCCCUAAGUAUGUUGAACUCCACAAUUUCAUGGUCACUGCACCAAGACUGCCUUUGACCUUUACAUUCCCACCAGCAUCACCUUGUUGAUAAGAAAGAGGUCCAGCACAGCCUCUUUCCUCAGCUUCUCUAUCACCUGGAGAAGGAAGUUAUCAUCGUAUUGUAUGGUACCUGCUUACCAGCAGGUUGGACUUGAUGAUCUCUUGAGGUUCCUUUCGAUCUCUGUGAUUCUGUGGUUCUGUGAUUCUGCAACACACUCUAGGAACCUCCUGGAUUGCUCAUGCCUUGCUUUGUUGCCUCUCCAACAGAUAUUGGGGUGGUUGAAUUCCCACAUGAAGACCAGGGACUGUGAAUACAAAUCUGUUCCUCAGUCCAGCACAGCAUGACUACCUCUGCCCCAUCACUGAUUGCUGGUGGACCAACCCUUUCUCACCCUGCAGCUACCAGACAGGCUGAAAUACUCCUGAGGUGGACCUUGAAUUCCCAUGUAAAUUAGGUUGGCUCCUGACAGCAGGAGGUAGCUAAAAAGUUAUGAAGACACCUAAUCCCCUACUUCCUGUCUCAAAACACCUUGGAGCUUCCCCACUCCCACAGCACCUCUCUGGGCCUCCUGAGGCUGACAGUAGCUUCUAUUGGAACCUUUCUGACCCUUCUCAGGAACAGUAUCCAGGGACCAGUUGAAUCAGCACUGCAGAA
ensembl:lncRNA